rnacentral:rRNA from 1 species
UGCGUAGGCGGGUCUUUAAGCCAGGGGUGAAAUCCUGGAGCUCAACUCCAGAACUGCCUUUGAUACUGAAGAUCUUGAGUUCGGGAGAGGUGAGUGGAACUGCGAGUGUAGAGGUGAAAUUCGUAGAUAUUCGCAAGAACACCAGUGGCGAAGGCGGCUCACUGGCCCGAUACUGACGCUGAGGCAGAAAGCUGGGGAGCAAACA